CUAACGGCUUUACCAAAAGCCAUAUACAAUUAAAAUAAAUAAAUA
rfam:Ricinus communis cultivar Hale ctg_1100012350504, whole genome shotgun sequence.